rnacentral:rRNA from 1 species
AUUGAACGCUGGCGGCAUGCCUUACACAUGCAAGUCGAACGGCAGCACGGAAGCAAUCCUGGUGGCGAGUGGCGAACGGGUGAGUAAAGUAUCGGAACGUGCCCAGUCGUGGGGGAUAACGUAGCGAAAGUUACGCUAAUACCGCAUACGAUCUAUGGAUGAAAGCGGGGGAUCGCAAGACCUCGCGCGAUUGGAGCGGCCGAUAGCAGAUUAGGUAGUUGGUGGGGUGAAGGCUCACCAAGCCGACGAUCUGUAGCUGGUCUGAGAGGACGACCAGCCACACUGGGACUGAGACACGGCCCAGACUCCUACGGGAGGCAGCAGUGGGGAAUUUUGGACAAUGGGCGAAAGCCUGAUCCAGCCAUGCCGCGUGCAGGAUGAAGGCCUUCGGGUUGUAAACUGCUUUUGUACGGAACGAAAAGGUUUGGCCUAAUAAGCUGAGCUCAUGACGGUACCGUAAGAAUAAGCACCGGCUAACUACGUGCCAGCAGCCGCCGCCG